rnacentral:rRNA from 1 species
GAUGAACGCUGGCUACAGGCUUAACACAUGCAAGUCGAGGGGAAACGACGGGGAAGCUUGCUUCCCCGGGCGCCGACCGGCGCACGGGUGAGUAACGCGUAUCCAACCUGCCUCUGACUGAGGGAUAACCCGUCGAAAGUCGGCCUAAUACCUCAUGGCAUCGUCUGCGGGCAUCCAACGACGAUUAAAGAUUUCAUCGGUCAGAGAUGGGGAUGCGUCUGAUUAGCUUGUUGGCGGGGUAACGGCCCACCAAGGCGACGAUCAGUAGGGGUUCUGAGAGGAAGGUCCCCCACAUUGGAACUGAGACACGGUCCACACUCCUACGGGAGGCAGCAGUGAGGAAUAUUGGGCAAUGGGCGAGAGCCUGAACCAGCCAAGUAGCGUGCAGGAUGACGGCCCUAUGGGUUGUAAACUGCUUUUAUGCGGGGAUAAAGUGAGGGACGUGUCCUUCAUUGCAGGUACCGCAUGAAUAAGGACCGGCUAAUUCCGUG